rnacentral:sRNA from 1 species
UGAUAGUGUAAUCGAUAAUCAUAUAUUAACCAGUUAGCGCAAGGCUCUCACGAGCCAUUCCCCUAAGCCCGAGACAGGAGUCGUUUCGGGCUAUUUUUU